rnacentral:rRNA from 1 species
UACAGAGGUCUCAAGCGUUGUUCGGAUUCAUUGGGCGUAAAGAGCGUGUAGGCGGUCAGGUAGGUCCGUUGUGAAAACUCGAGGCUCAACCUCGAGACGCCGAUGGAAACCAUCUGACUAGAGUCCGGAAGAGGAGAGUGGAAUUCCUGGUGUAGCGGUGAAAUGCGCAGAUAUCAGGAAGAACACCCGUGGCUAAGGCGGCUCUCUAGUACGGUACUGACGCUGAGACGCGAAAGCGUGGGGAGCGAACAGG